ensembl:lncRNA
AUUGCUUUUAUUUUUGUAGUUCAUUUAUUUAUUUGUAUUUUAUUGUAUUAUGUAAAAGUUAGUUUUAGCUCAUUUUAACUCAUUUUUGUUUUUUUAUUUAUUUUUUUAUCUUAAUUUUUUAUCAAUUAAUUUUUUUUUCUAAUUCUAUUUUUAUUUUUUAUUUUUUAUUAUAUCUAUGAAGUAGAGCUGAGUCAGACGUGGGUUGGGGAAAUCCUGAAAGCGAACGGAGCCGGACGCGGACAGUGUUUAUGAAGCUGCUGGUGUUCAAAUUUAAAUGGAAUAGGCACUAAUUUCCCAGACAAUGUCUAUCUGGGUUUAAUAAUUGGAGUUUCGGUCUCGGGGGUUUUGGCAGCGCUUGUUUUUUUGAUGCUCUGUGUUCUGGUGAUGAUAAUAAACACUGCAAGAUGCCCUGACUGCACAGACCACAUCUCUCAGGGUUUAAUGAUUGGAGGUGUGGUCUCAGGGAUGUUGGUGCUCCUGUGUCCUGUGAUCCUCCGUGUGCUAAUAAAGAGAAUAAUAAUGUAUGAAAGAUGGACUGACUUGCUUUAUAACAUCUACUGGGAUUUAAUAGUUGGAGUUGUGGGGCUUGUGCUGAUCCUGUAUUCUGUGACCCUUUGUGUUCUGAUAUGGAGAAUAAAAAAGUAUGGAAGAAGGACUAACCACCUUAACCACAUCUAUUGGGGUUUAAUGAUUGGAGUUGUGGUGCUUGCGCUGAUCCUGUAUUCUGUGAUCCUCUGUGUUCUGAUUAUAAAAAUACGGGACAGUAAUGAACCACUUCCUCAACAAGCAGGUAAGGUGUCUUUCUUUACAUCCGGAAUAAUUAAAUCAAUGUCCAUAUUUUCAUGAUAAAGCUUUUGUUGUAGUAAAACAUGAUAAAAAAAAGUUCUCAUCUUUGAUGAAUAGCACACCUCUGUUCUCCCACAGCGUUCAGAGAUCCAGAAAUUUUACCAGUUUGUCCAAAGACUGGGAGAUACGGAGCAUAAUUUCCCCUGAUAAAUUACUUUUUAAACCGUUAUCCAGCUCAAAGUAGCUCCACACCUCCUUACUAGAAUCCAAGAGGAGAGUCCUGAUAUUUAAAACCAGGCAUUAAUUACUUAAAAAGUGCAGAAGAAGCUUAUUAAAAACCACUGUUUAUAUUCCAAUUUUACAAAGGAGGUGUGGAGCUACUUUGAGCUGGAUAACAGUGUAAAAAGUGAUUUAACAGGAUUAAUUAAUCCCCAUAUCACCCAGUCUGAAGGAUGUUUGGACAAAUUAAAAUUUGCGUGGUUUUUCUUAAAUAUUGACUUGUUUUGAUGUAUAGAAGUGUGUGUGUGUAGAACAGGAUGAAUGAGUGUAAAUAUAAAAUGCAUUGCUGUUAUAUUGUGUGGAUUUGGCAGGUGCUGAUAUUGCUGGUGAUGCUGAAGAUUCUGCAGGUAGGUGGAAUAUUAUAUUUAUUCCAGAGAAAUAUUACGGUAUUAUUGUAUGUACAGCUGCAGUGGAAAUGUGUUUAAUGCUAAUAUGGUUACAUUCAGGUGUUCAGAUUUAUACUUUUAAUUUUCCUCUUAAGCUCCAGUCAGUGCAGUGCUCCAUAGUCCUGCUCUAAUCAUAUAUUGAUCACUGAUAUUUUCACCCUCAAUUCCAAAAGACAUUGGUAAAGAAUGUUCAUCAUGUGUUUUCUAUUAUAUUGUGAAUAAAAUGUGUGUCUAUGUAAUUUGGAACCA